UGCAGUCGAGCGGUAAGGCCCUUCGGGGUACACGAGCGGCGAACGGGUGAGUAACACGUGGGUGAUCUGCCUCGCACUCUGGGAUAAGCCUGGGAAACUGGGUCUAAUACCGGAUAUGACCUUACAUCGCAUGGUGUUUGGUGGAAAGAUUUAUCGGUGCGAGAUGGGCCCGCGGCCUAUCAGCUUGUUGGUGGGGUAAUGGCCUACCAAGGCGACGACGGGUAGCCGGCCUGAGAGGGCGACCGGCCACACUGGGACUGAGACACGGCCCAGACUCCUACGGGAGGCAGCAGUGGGGAAUAUUGCACAAUGGGCGAAAGCCUGAUGCAGCGACGCCGCGUGAGGGAUGACGGCCUUCGGGUUGUAAACCUCUUUCGACAGGGACGAAGCGCAAGUGACGGUACCUGUAGAAGAAGCACCGGCCAACUACGUGCCAGCAGCCGCGGUAAUACGUAGGGUGCGAGCGUUGUCCGGAAUUACUGGGCGUAAAGAGCUUGUAGGCGGCUUGUCGCGUCGAUCGUGAAAACUUGGGGCUCAACCCCAAGCUUGCGGUCGAUACGGGCAGGCUUGAGUACUUCAGGGGAGACUGGAAUUCCUGGUGUAGCGGUGAAAUGCGCAGAUAUCAGGAGGAACACCGGUGGCGAAGGCGGGUCUCUGGGAAGUAACUGACGCUGAGAAGCGAAAGCGUGGGUAGCGAACAGGAUUAGAUACCCUGGUAGUCCACGCCGUAAACGGUGGGUACUAGGUGUGGGUUUCCUUCCACGGGAUCCGUGCCGUAGCUAACGCAUUAAGUACCCCGCCUGGGGAGUACGG
rnacentral:rRNA from 1 species